rnacentral:rRNA from 1 species
AGAGUUUGCCCCUGAAUCAGGAUGAACGCUGGCGGCGUGCUUAACACAUGCAAGUCGAACGGGAAACCUUUUAUUGAAGCUUCGGCAGAUUUAGCUGGUUUCUAGUGGCGGACGGGUGAGUAACGCGUGGGUAACCUGCCUUAUACAGGGGGAUAACAGUCAGAAAUGGCUGCUAAUACCGCAUAAGCGCACAGAGCUGCAUGGCUCAGUGUGAAAAACUCCGGUGGUAUAAGAUGGACCCGCGUUGGAUUAGCUGGUUGGUGGGGUAACGGCCCACCAAGGCGACGAUCCAUAGCCGGCCUGAGAGGGUGAACGGCCACAUUGGGACUGAGACACGGCCCAGACUCCUACGGGAGGCAGCAGUGGGGAAUAUUGCACAAUGGGGGAAACCCUGAUGCAGCGACGCCGCGUGAAGGAAGAAAUAUCUCGGUAUGUAAACUUCUAUCAGCAGGGAAGAUAGUGACGGUACCUGACUAAGAAGCCCCGGCUAACUACGUGCCAGCAGCCGCGGUAAUACGUAGGGGGCAAGCGUUAUCCGGAUUUACUGGGUGUAAAGGGAGCGUAGACGGUGUGGCAAGUCUGAUGUGAAAGGCAUGGGCUCAACCUGUGGACUGCAUUGGAAACUGUCAUACUUGAGUGCCGGAGGGGUAAGCGGAAUUCCUAGUGUAGCGGUGAAAUGCGUAGAUAUUAGGAGGAACACCAGUGGCGAAGGCGGCUUACUGGACGGUAACUGACGUUGAGGCUCAAAAGCGUGGGGAGCAAACAGGAUUAGAUACCCUGGUAGUCCACGCCGUAAACGAUGA